rnacentral:rRNA from 1 species
GCAAGUCGAGCGAUGAAACACCUCUCCGGUGUGAAUUAGCGGCGAACGGCUGAGGAACACCUGAAGAAUCUGCCUUCAACUCUGGGAUAACUCCGGGAAACCGGGGCUAAUACCGGAUAUGAGCCUUGAUCGCAUGAUCGGGGCUGGAAAGUUUUUCGGUUGAAGAUGACUUCCCGGCCUAUCAGCUUGUUGGUGAGGUAAUGGCUCACCAAGGCGACGACGGGUAGCCGGCCUGAGAGGGCGACCGGCCACACUGGGACUGAGACACGGCCCAGACUCCUACGGGAGGCAGCAGUGGGGAAUAUUGGGCAAUGGAGGAAACUCUGACCCAGCGACGCCGCGUGAGGGAUGAAUGCCUUCGGGUUGUAAACCUCUUUCAGUAGGGAAGAAGCGAAAGUGACGGUACCUACAGAAGAAGCACCGGCUAACUAUGUGCCAGCAGCCGCGGUAAUACAUAGGGUGCAAGCGUUGUCCGGAAUUAUUGGGCGUAAAGAGCUCGUAGGUGGUUCGAUACGUCGGAUGUGAAAAUCAGGGGCUCAACCCCUGACCUGCAUCCGAUACGGUCGAGCUAGAGUUUGGUAGGGGAGACUGGAAUUCCUGGUGUAGCGGUGGAAUGCGCAGAUAUCAGGAGGAACACCGAUGGCGAAGGCAGGUCUCUGGGCCAAUACUGACACUGAGGAGCGAAAGCGUGGGGAGCGAACAGGAUUAGAUACCCUGGUAGUCCACGCCGUAAACGGUGGGCGCUAGUUGUGCGAACCUUCCACGGUUUGUGCGACGCAGCUAACGCAUUAAGCGCCCCGCCUGGGGAGUACGAUCGCAAGAUUAAAACUCGAAGGAAUUGACGGGGCCCCGCACAAGCAGCGGAGCAUGCGGCUUAAUU